GUGGAUGUAGCUCAGUCGGUUAGAGCGCCAGAUUGUGGUUCUGGAGGUCGGGGGUUCGAUUCCCCUCAUCCACCCCA
rnacentral:tRNA from 2 species